UACGGCGGGGGCUAGCGUUGUUCGGAAUUACUGGGCGUAAAGCGCACGUAGGCGGCUUUGUAAGUUAGAGGUGAAAGCCCGGGGCUCAACUCCGGAAUUGCCUUUAAGACUGCAUCGCUAGAAUUGUGGAGAGGUAAGUGGAAUUCCGAGUGUAGAGGUGAAAUUCGUAGAUAUUCGGAAGAACACCAGUGGCGAAGGCGACUUACUGGACACGUAUUGACGCUGAGGUGCGAAAGCGUGGGGAGCAAACAGG
rnacentral:rRNA from 1 species